UUAAAGGAAUUGACGGGACCGCACAAGCGGUGGAUGAUGUGGUUUAAUUCGAUGCAACGCGAAAACCUUACCCACCUUUGACAUGUUGGGAACUUUCCAGAGAUGGAUUGGUGCCUUCGGGAACCCAACACAGGUGCUGCAUGGCCGUCGUCAGCUCGUGUCGUGAGAUGUUGGGUUAAGUCCCGUAACGAGCGCAACCCUUAUCCCUAGUUGCCAGCACAUUAUGGUGGGAACUCUAGGGAGACUGCCGGUGACAAACCGGAGGAAGGUGGGGAUGACGUCAAGUCCUCAUGGCCCUUAUGGGUAGGGCUUCACACGUCAUACAAUGGUCGGUACAGAGGGUUGCCAAGCCGCGAGGUGGAGCCAAUCCCUUAAAGCCGGCCUCAGUUCAGAUUGUAGGUUGCAACUCGCCUGCAUGAAGAUGGAGUUGCUAGUAACCGCAGGUCAGCAAUACUGCGGUGAAUACGUUCCCGGGUCUU
rnacentral:rRNA from 1 species